ACUUCGGUCCCGAGUAGAGUGGCGCACGGGUGAGUAACGCGUAAGUGAUCUACCCCUGUAUCUGGGAUAACUGUGGGAAACUGCAGCUAAUACCGGAUACGUUCAUGUAGUUGCGAUUAUGUGAAGAAAGAUGGCCUCUGAUUCAAGCUAUUGUACAGGGAGGAGCUUGCGUACCAUUAGCUAGUUGGUAGGGUAAUGGCCUACCAAGGCAACGAUGGUUAGCGGGUCUGAGAGGAUGAUCCGCCACACUGGAACUGAAACACGGACCAGACUCCUACGGGAGGCAGCAGUGAGGAAUAUUGCGCAAUGGGGGCAACCCUGACGCAGCGACGCCGCGUGGAUGAUGAAGGCCUUCGGGUCGUAAAAUCCUGUCAGAUGGGAAGAAGUGUGUGAUGGUUAAUACCCAUUGCAUUUGACGGUACCAUCAGAGGAAGCACCGGCUAACUCCGUGCCAGCAGCCGCGGUAAUACGGAGGGUGCAAGCGUUGUUCGGAAUUACUGGGCGUAAAGCGCGCGUAGGCGGUUUGUUAAGUCAGAUGUGAAAGCCCAGGGCUCAACCCUGGACGUGCAUUUGAAACUGGCAGACUUGAGUAUUGGAGGGGGUGGUGGAAUUCCCGGUGUAGAGGUGAAAUUCGUAGAUAUCGGGAGGAAUACCGGUGGCGAAGGCGACCACCUGGCCAAAUACUGACGCUGAGGUGCGAAAGCGUGGGGAGCAAACAGGAUUAGAUACCCUGGUAGUCCACGCCGUAAACGAUGAGAACUAGGUGUUGGGACGGUUGAUCGUCUCAUUGCCGCAGCUAACGCAUUAAGUUC
rnacentral:rRNA from 1 species